AGAGUUUGAUCCUGGCUCAGAACGAACGCUGGCGGCAGGCUUAACACAUGCAAGUUGAACGUGAUUUGCUGGGUGCUUGCACCGAGCAAUGAAAGUAGCGCACUGGUGAGUAACACGUGGGAACGUACCUUUUGGUGGGGAACAACAGUUGGAAACGACUGCUAAUACCGCAUAAGCCCUGAGGGGGAAAGAUUUAUCGCCGAAAGAACGGCCCGCGGAAGAUUAGGUAGUUGGUGGGGUAACGGCCUACCAAGCCGACGAUCUAUAGCUGGUCUGAGAGGACGAUCAGCCACAUUGGAACUGAGACACGGUCCAAACUCCUACGGGAGGCAGCAGUGAGGAAUAUUGGGCAAUGGAGGCAACUCUGACCCAGCCAUGCCGCGUGAGUGAAGAAGGUUUUCGGAUUGUAAAGCUCUUUCGGGUGUGACGAUGAUGACGGUAGCACCUAAAGAAGCCCCGGCUAACUUCGUGCCAGCAGCCGCGGUAAUACGAAGGGGGCAAGCGUUGUUCGGAAUUACUGGGCGUAAAGGGAGUGUAGGCGGUUAUGUAAGAUAGUGGUGAAAUCCCAGAGCUUAACUUUGGAAUUGCCAUUAUGACUAUGUGGCUAGAAUUACAGAGAGGAUAGUGGAAUACCCAGUGUAGAGGUGAAAUUCGUAGAUAUUGGGUAGAACACCAGUGGCGAAGGCGACUAUCUGGCUGUAUAUUGACGCUGAGGCUCGAAAGCAUGGGGAUCAAACAGGAUUAGAUACCCUGGUAGUCCAUGCUGUAAACGAUGAGUGCUUGUUGUCGGUAUUGUAUCGGUGACGAAGUUAACGCGUUAAGCACUCCGCCUGGGGAGUACGGUCGCAAGAUUAAAACUCAAAGGAAUUGACGGGGACCCGCACAAGCGGUGGAUGAUGUGGAUUAAUUCGAUGCAACGCGAAAAACCUUACCCAGCCUUGACAUGUCAGGAAUGCUUCGGAGAUGAGGCAGUGCCCGCAAGGGAACCUGAGCACAGGUGCUGCAUGGCUGUCGUCAGCUCGUGUCGUGAGAUGUUGGGUUAAGUCCCGCAACGAGCGCAACC
rnacentral:rRNA from 1 species